GGCUUGCAGUUCCUUUGUGCUCAAUGAUAGGUACAAAUGUUGCGUAAGGAAAAUAUAACUUCCCUUGCAUAAAUCUGUCACCAGAUGAAUCUGAGGAGCUGAACAAUGAAAGAAAAGGUAGCUUAGAGGAUUCCUUGAGCCAUGACCUACAGCUGGUUUCUUUUAAUCCUUAAUGGAUGCUCUAUUGAUGUGGGGGCUCCAUGUUUCAUUUAAAUCUGUAUGCUGCUUUGUAAUCAUAAGGCACAAUGUAGAAAGUCUUCUGAUAGUGAAAUGUCAUGCCAUUUGCCUCUGAGAAUGCAGGUGUUAAGGGUGAGUAUAUCUAUUGUGACCAGUCUCGUGGAAUGCAGAGGAAGGAAUGGGCACAGCUGCUCAGGUCAAAUGUAAUUUAAACAUACACAUAUUUCCUCUUUGUUGAGAAAAUAUGUGUUCUUGGCAGUAGAUGUGCAAUGGUGGAAGACAUUAGACUUCCAAGAACUGGAAGCCCAAUUAUGCAAACUUUUCUACUUUGACAAAAAUUAAACCCUUGCUUGGCCAUCAUUCCUUUCUAUUUAAAGAUUAUUAUUUUAAGCUAGGCACUCCAAGGAAAGGAUCCACUGCACUUUUCUGACCUAAGAAUAGUCAACCUCUGAUCUUUUUUGAUUUCAUUUGUCUGGGACUUUAAGUGAAAUGUAUAAUCAAUCACAUCUGGCAUACCAGAUCUUGGCAAUGGAACAUCCAUAGCAAUCAAUUACUCUUAAGUGGUUCUACAGAGUAGACCACAAAUCUACAAUUCUUCAGAAUAACUUCUAAGUAGCAAGUAUUCAUGGAGCUUUAAUAUUUUAAAAUAAAAUGCCUUACCUAUAUACCUCAGUCCUAAUCACAUUUACUUAAAAGAAAAUAUGAUUCGGCUCAAUUAUGUUUGCUUCCAAAUAGGAAUACUUACAGCCCAGUCUGAACUACAUUUAGAAUUGUGUCUUGAUGAUUCAGUAGAAUUUACAUACCGGUAAAUGAUUAUGCUUAAGAUUGCAAUUAUACAUUCCUAUGCAAGUUUAUUCAGAGAAAGUAAGUCCCCACAGUUUAUUAGAGUUUGCACCCCAGUAAGCAUACAUAGGAUGGCAUGCUAAAUGUACCAGGGUAGAGCUAUAGGCAGCUAAUAAGUGGUGAGCUGGGAGCUUGGAAUCAGGAAAUUUGCUAGGGGGUCAGAUCCAAAUUCCCAAGCCAGGAAUCAGACUCAAGGAACAAGCCAGGAAAUCAGAUCUAAAUAUCCCAUAGUAGUUUACCAAAGGUAGGAUCACCUUGAUAUUCAACAAAAUCCCAUUCCAAACAGAGGGCAGGGCCUAGUGGUUAUCUUGGGUACAUGUGACCAGUCUAGAUCCUGAGAAUCAUUUAUUGUUAGGAAGAUGCUUCAAACUGCAGUUGUGUGUCUCAUCUGAAGCAUCAGCACAAAGAACCGAAAGUUCCUGGUUCUAGCCCCAGAAGUUCCUGGCAAUGUGUCAGUUCAUAUACCCCAAGGCCUACGCAUACAUUAGGAGCAUGUGGGUCCACCUCUGAGCUUGUGGUUCACAGAAACUCACAUGGGGGUGCCAUUUGUUUGACCCAGUAUGACACCAUGUGAGGUGGUCCACACAUUCACCAUGAUUCAUGUGAGUAUAUGCCUUUCUUGAGAAAUUGCAAUUGCACAACUUGCAAGGUCUACAUACGCAUCUAAAUGUAGAUGAUCUUCUCAGUCUUAUUCCCAUCCUGUCAUGCAAUGCUCUUCUGUACCCUUUCUGUGUCAUGUAAAUAGCUUUGUUAUUGGUGGCUGCAUCUACCUGGUGAUGGUGACUGCUGUCAGGAUGACCGUGCUACUCUCUUGUGCUUGCCUGUUGCAACCAGGCAUGGUGACGCUCUGGUGCAGCAGUAGUUGCACCUUAUCUUAAACUCUUAUUUCCCUAUAGAGCAGAUUGGUCUAUGUGUUGCAUUUCCCAUCACAGAUAAUACUUAAAGGCUGGUCAUGCUUUGCAGCUAUUUGACAGGAUUCCUACAGAACCAGGUUUUUAUGAAAAAAGUACCAUGAGGUUCUGAUUUCAGAGAGGGGUGCAAUUUCCCUGCCUCCAAGCUCCAUCUCUGUGGGUCAUUGACAAGAAAAGAAAAGAAGAGAAAAGAAAAGAGAAAAAUGGCAGGAUGUCAUUUGACUCUAGUUUCAGAUGCAGAACUAAGACCAGCUCUGGAUUCCCUGUAAAUAAAUUGUAGAUUGUUAUGCUUGUGACUUACUGCCUUAAGAUUAACUUUUCUUUCUCUUAUCCUGUAUAUCAAAUAUAUUAACUUUUGGAUGGAAGCAUUGCUUGAAUAACACUUGCAAAACAGAGACAGAGAACAAGUAUAGGAUUUAAAAAGUAUCAUUAUCUCAAAUUGAUCAUGAAAAAUACAGUAGAAGGUUAUUUUCUUCAAAGUUUAGCAAUGCUAAUUGCACUGACUUGAGUUCCAGAAGUCCCCAAAGUAGGGAUGAAGAGGAUUAGGAAAUAUAAUUGGCUCUAGAAAACUCCCAAAGGCAUCUGUACGUUCAGCAUGAAAGAAUAUAUUCCACAAAGCUUAACCUGUAAAACAUUAGUAAAACAGCCAUGUUCCAUCUGAUGAGUGGUCUGGAAGCAUUUGUGGGAAGCAUAUUCUGUUGAUGAACAAGUAUUUGAUUUUAUUUGAUCAGCACAAAGGUAAAAGUGACAGGAGAACACAAAACCUUCCAGAAUUACACUUAUUGUCUCUGAGCCAGCCAACUAUACUACUCAAGUGUGUUAUUUUGAACUUCAUUCAUUACAGGUUGUUGUACCUAUCAAAUAAGUGAAUAAAAGUACAUAAUGUAAAUAAAAAUAUCAGCUGCCUUGGGGUCAACAUGAGCAGCACCCCACAGAUACUACCGCCAUCCAUCAAGCAAAUGAAGACAGAUGAAAGAUGGCAAGUUACAUUAUCCUCUGAUGAUAAGAGUGGAGUACCAAUUUGUAAACAAAUGGGAAUUCUUUACAAAUAUGCGGGGUGAAAAUAGAUUGCCUUGAAUUGACAAGACAAUAAUUCUGGCUGUUUCUGGAAAUUCCCAUACUGAAUAGGAAGAAAAGGGGGGAGUGGGGUGGCUGGUACUUUUUUGGUAUUCUUCGAAGAUUAUGCAAGUGAUUGUUGGCAAGGCUCUAUUUUUACCAUUCUCCCACAAUCAUCUAAGCAAUUGUUUAUCCCAUGUCUUUUAUGGAAAUGAGUCAUGGGCACACUCUUCCAUUGUCUCCCAAGACAGAUGGAUGCCAACCAACCAACCAACCAUGUCACAUGGGAGGUUCUUAAGUCCAGGAGUCUUUCCAGGCUCUACCUGGAGAUGCUGCAAAUUGAACCUGGAACUUUUUACAUACAAAACAUGUGCUUUACGAUUGAAUUCAUGCAUAGCUCAUAGGAGCAGUUGAGAGUCCCCCUUUCUGCUCAUUCCCAUCCUAUGAUGUGGAACCAGAACCGCCCAGGAAGAAAGGGGACAGAAAACUUUUUCUGCUCAGAUUUGAAAGGGAAGUUUUAGGUGAAGAGCAGCGCAAAAGAGGGUAUCAGGGAGGCAUUUUAAUGGAUGCUCAGAGUUCCACAUUGACUGUCCCAGUUAAGGACAACAAACUGAUGGCUUGAGGUGAUGACUAAGCAGAGUCUGUAGAACAAAGAUGGGAAAGCUGUGGUCCUCCAGAUGUUGUUGGACUCCAAUCCCCAUCAUCCCUGACCAUUGGCCAGGCUAGCCGGGACUGAUGUGCAGUGAAAUCCAUUCCAACCUUGGGCCAUGCUUCUUAGAAGCUGACUCACUUUUUCACAGAAACAUACCAGAAGACGGGGCUGGCUAAGUUAAUUAGAAAUCUGUGUUAUCUUUGCAUAAGUGGAAGGAUGGACAUAGUAAGUCCUUCAGUGGAAUGGAAUUUUCCACUUUUGAUUCUUGGUGUGGGUGUUUAUGAAUGCAUGCAUACACUGAUUCCACUUCACAUAUACUCAGAGCAACUGGAAUAGAGCUGCUUUUAUUAUGACAGUGACUAGGAAAAGCCGGCAAGCCUGCAGAACUGCAGAGUAAAAAAUCAAAACCAAAUCUAAAUAUAGCAACAUAGGAAACUGUCUUAUACUGAAACAGGCCAAUGAGCCAUCUAGCACAGUAUCGAAUUGUUAUACUGUCAACAGAUUUUAAGGGCUUAGGAGUCAUUCCCAGGACCUUUUCCCUCCAACAUAUAUGCUCUACCACUGAACUACUACAGCCCAUCCCAAACUAUAGAUUAGAUUCAUUGGUGUAAUGACAAGGAUGCUCAGGUUCUGCAAGAGGUCUUCCCUCCUCACUGCAAAGCAGUAUAAUGUAGUUCAGUGCCAUAUUUCAGAACCAUAUUCAGUAAUCAAAUUCCUGAAAAAUAACCCAUAGUUUUCUGCCAAUUGGACAGUCUAUUUCUGGAAUAGUCUCCAAUAACUAUUUCAUAUUUAUAGAGCCCUAGAAUAGCACAGCCUCAUUUUAUGGAAAAUGAUUAGGGAUUUUUUUUUAUUGAUUAAGCAGUAUAUCAACCCUGGCUUAUAUCCAAUGCAGCACUAAGUAACCAUCCUUGUCAGUGCAAGGAUUUAUGUUUGUGCAAUGGGACUUCCCUUCUCCUCUCACCGCAUGCACCCUAAAUCUGUUCUGGGUGUCCUCCCAACCCUUUGGAGCAGAUUUGGAGAAGGCAUGUGGGUGUACAGUGGCAGGAGAUGGCAGGAGUCCCAAUGCUCAAGCAGAAACUCUUUUGUUGAUGGAAUGGUUUCUUAGUGCUGUAUUUGAUACAAGCCCUUGCUAAACAAUCAGGUACAAGCAUUCAAAUAAACAAUGGAGGCACCAUGCACGCUGGUCUUUAACUUCAUGCCAUGAACCAGCAGGAUAAUGGGGAGGAGGAGGAGGAGGAGGGUCCUGGCGAGGAGUGUAGUCAGGACUGGGACACACUGAGGCAAGCUCGAAAUUUGGAAGGAAAGGUUAAUGUAGGAAGUACUUAUGGAGUAACGGAGGAUGACAAGUGCUCAGAAACCAGAGCAGCAGGACCCAGAGCCAGAAGGGCUUCUGUCUACAUGAACAUGGCAGGCUCUGAGGCGUAGGGAGCAGCAGAUGGGAUGCUCCAGGAAGCUGAGGCAGGCAAGGGCCCACAGUCCAGUUCCCUAGCUGACCAGGUGGGGAUUGUUAGCUGUGGGAGGAGGUGUGUGAUUCCUCAGCAGGAGUAGGCUUAGAACAGGUGAGGGUCACAUGCCUCAUCAAGUCCAGAUGCUGCAAUCAGCAUGCAAAGUAUAAACGGGCAGCAGAGCUAAGGUCCUGUGUCUGUUCAGCUGCUCAUGUUGAUGGACUUUGACUUGGAUUAUCCUGCACCUCCAAGUGACUGUGCUUUGGGUUUGACCCUGGACUGUAUCCUGAUGGCUGGACUUUGGACUUGGCUACUUGGGUUGACCCAGAACCUCAUUUCUUGGACUUGCUUGUGUGGCUUAACCCUCAGACUUUGAACUGUGGACUUGGCAUACUGACUUUCUGCCAGGUAGGCCAAGGGUUUGUGACCCUUCAGUUCUUGAUAAUCUGCUUGAAUGUUAUAAUGCUGAAAAUGAAUUGGGGAUUUAGGAAAACCUUUUGGACUGACUCCCAAGUCACAUGCCUUAUGCCAAAUCAGACCACUGGUCCAUCUAGCUCAGCACUGUGUACACGGCACUGGGAGAGGCUCUUUUGGGAUUGAGAGGGGGCUUCCCCAGGGCAGAUCUACACCAUACAUUAAAAGUGCAUUCACUCCACUUUUAAAACGUAUCACUGUAGUUUCCCCUCACAGACCUGCAGUUCUUUAACAGAUUACAUUUCCUAGGAUUAUUUGGGGGAAGUGCUUUACAUGUGCAUGGGGUGUUGAUCACAGAGCUCAGAGAUAUCGGGGACGAAACCCGGGACCUGCUGCAUGCAAAGCACAUACAGCCCCUCCCCAAAAUUGUAUUAAGAUUUGAAUAGAUGCAAGAAAAUUGCCCAGAUUAAAUGUUCACAUUACUUAGAAAACUCAGAUGGAGUCUUUUCUUCUGCCCAGCUUGGUGUUUCAGUGGUAUUCAAGGACUUUUAUCUUCAUUAACAAGUCAGCCAACAAACUGACAAAUAUGGGCUUAGACCAGAACUUUAUUACAGCCUAUUAUUACCUUCCUUUCUUCUUACUUAGUUUGUAACUCAUACUGAGCAGUAACCAAAUUCCUGCCGAGAGGCCUCUUUUAUUACCGUAGUUUGGGUUUUGUUUUUUGUUCAUGGUCAAAAGAGGGACCCCCAUUAUUUUGUAGCUUAGUGAGGUAGUUCUCCUCCUGUCAAUCAAUUCCAAAAGGUUUUUUUGUACAACUCUUGAGAGCCUGCAUCUCAUGUUUAGAUCACUGAUUGCUUCCAAGGGCAAUUGCCUUUCCAUAAUAGAUCUCACUCUGUCAAACCCUGUAAAAGCUUGCUUGUUUUUUAUCUAAUACAAUUGCCCUGGGAUUCUUGAAGUGGCAAAUGUAAGGAGGAUAAAUAAGGCUGAAAUUAUCUGAAUCAACCAACCAAAUGACGCAAAUGAUUUUGUCCCCAUUUGGUUACAUUGCGGUACUGAUGCUGCCCUGACCAAAUUUUAUAGCCUCAUCUAUGGGAAGUUGGUCUGGUGAAUGAUUCAGGAUAAGCUACUCAUUAGAGUAGUUGCAUGAAUGAUUCAUUUAACAAACUGAGCCAGGCAAAGAGGAGGCAUUUUAGCAGUGGCUUACUAGAUGGAAUUUACUUCUUAAUAUUUUGAGCAACAUUUCUUUCACAUGAAGAGUCAAGACAUGCUAAAGACCCAAGAAAAUAGGUUUUUGAAGUUUCAGCAGAUAGGAUCUGCUUUGCAUACUCAAAUUGAUUUGCCUUCCUCUUCUGGGCCCCUACAUCUUGACAUCCCAAAGAAAGUUGCUGUGAAGGGAGUGGCAAAAGUAGCAAUGGGUUUUGCUGGCAGGCCAAUUUAGGAGGUAGCAGUGGAGUCUCGUGCCCCAAAUUUCUUUUCAAAGUGGCAUUCUGGUAAAACAAAUUGCUGACUAAGACUUCAGCACUGGACAGUGGUAAACUGCUUGAGCCAUCUCGGCAUUUUACAGUGGUACCUCGGGUUAAGUACCGGUACUUAAUUCGUUCCGGAGGUCCGUACUUAACCUGAAACUGUUCUUAACCUGAAGAACCAUUUUAGCUAAUGGGGCCUCCUGCUGCUGCUGCGCCCCCGGAAAACAAUUUCUGUUCUCAUCCUGAAGCAAAGUUCUUAACCUGAAGCACUAUUUCUGGGUUAGCGGAGUCUGUAACCUGAAGCGUAUGUAACCUGAGGUACCACUGUAUUUUAUUUUAAUCAUUGUGGCUCAUGAAAAGAACACUGAAGGGAUGUUAUGAGCAUGAGCUAUGAACUGGUCUGCAAUUCUCAACUAAAAACCCAAAUUCUAAAAGCACAGACCCAUUUUUCCCCCAUCAGAAUUGGAAUAAGUUAUCCAAAUCCACCACAUUGAUAUAUACCUUCUUCUUUUGCGAACUUCAGGCUGCUUGCCAAUGCAACAGCAAAAUUUGAAAUAGUGUGCUCAGUUUUCUGUAAGGAUUGCAAACUUUCAGAGUUGGUGAAUCAUGGAAAACUGAACCAGCAGAUGGCUGGGUAUGUCAGCAGCAGCACUUUACCAUGUGCUCAUUUUGAUUUUGUGUGAAUUUAAUACUGAUCUUGCUGACAAUGUUUCCAUGAAGCAUAAGCGAGCAUUGGUGCACAGAGGUUGCACAUAGUCUCUACUCACAACUUCUCCAACCAUCUCCAAACAGCUAUACAAUUCUUGAUUUAUUGCCUCCUCCUCCUCCCUAAUCAGUCUGCAUGCCCCUACCUACCAUUUGGUCACACAAUAGUUCUGUGCGUAUGUGUCUUCAGAAGUCAUAUGUAUUCAUAUCUGCCUAACCCACACAGGCAUCUCAUUGCUAAAGAAGGUUGUCAGAAUAGAGCUGUCUAGCUGGGUCUUGGAAACUAUGGUCAAGGGUGGGAGUUCCACAGUUUGGAAAGGAGCUGUGGUAGGACUUCUCUUCCCAGGCGCUCUGGGAGGAAACUGAUUUUCUAGAUGCAGUUCAGUUGGGUUUUAGGCUUGGUUUGGGCACAGAAAUUGCUUUGGUCAUCCUGUAUGAUGACCUCUGUUGAGAGAGAGAGAAGGGAAAUGUGUCCUUGUUAAUUCUCCUCAACCUCUUGGUGGUUUUUGAUACCAUUGACCAGAGGUAGGCAACCUAAGGCCCGGGGCCCGGAUGCGGCCCAAUCACCUUCUCAAUCCGGCCUGUGGACAGUCCGGGAAUCAGCGUGUUUUUACAUGAGUAGAAUGUCUGCUUUUAUUUAAAAUGCAUCUCUGGGUUAUUUGUGGGGCAUAGGAAUUUGUUCAUAUUUUUUUUCAAAAUAAAAUCCAGCCCACCACAUGGUCUGAGGGAUGGUGAACUGGCCCAUGGCUGAAAAAGCUUGCUGACACCUGCCAUUGACCAUGCUAUCCUUCUGGAGUGGCUGUCUGAGUCAGGGUGCAUGGCACUACUUUGCAGUGCUUCCAAUCCUAUUGAGAUGGUUGUUUCCAGAGUCCUGGUUGUACCCAGAAAUGGAGCAGAAGCCAGUGCAGCUGUUUAAACUCCUGUGAGAUAGGACCCCAACAUUCAGUCCGGUUGGCAGCCUAUCAGUUAUGUUUUUGAGGACUAACUGCAGUUUCUGGGAGUUAUCAGUUUAUUAGCAGUGGGCAUGGUGGGGCAGAGGCAGGGCCGUCUUACCCAUAGGCGCUAGGGGUGCCAGGCCGAGAGUCCAGGGCCCAAGAGUUGAGUUCGGGGAAGAGCCCGCCCGUCGAUUGGAGUGCCGUGGUGGUCUCUUCUGCUGUGGGUGGCUCUGCAUCGCGAGUUCAGGGGAGACACUGAGGCCGCCGGCUGGCUCCGCCCUCCUGCAUGCCUGCGACUUGGUAACCUGGGGGGGGGGCUCCGGGUGGAUCUUUGCACCCUGGCACCGCAUAUGCUUAAGACAGCCCUGGGCAGAGGUGUGGAGCUGCCCUCCCACCACUGGCUUACCUAGACAGGGCUGGGAAACACCAAAACAUUGUUGGAGCCAGUUUGACACCAUCACCAGUGUGUUCACACCAGUCUUCCCUGCCUCAACUGAGCCCUGUCCAGGUAAGCUGCAGCAACAUUGGGGGUAGGAGGGCAAUUCCACAGCUCUGCCUCACCGCAAUAGCCGCUACUGAUUGCCACCUGGUGAGGUUGCCAAAGGGGAAAUAACAGUAUAAGCUCGGAAGAUGUGCUGGUGAGGCAAAAUCGCUCUGAAGAAGCCUGAGGGAAAUGGAAACAAACCUGUUAAAAGAAGGAGCAAGUAAAUUGCUAAGAAGUACAAUGGCUAGGGGCUUCAAAGAAACCAUAGACCUGUGGCCCAAUAUGCAACCUACAGAUUUGCAGGGGUUCAAGACACUCAAAGCAUUAGGGAAAAAAUACUCGGCAUAACCAUGAUUUGAGCCAUUAAAAACAGCUUCUUUUGAUUAAAGAAAAUGGGAUGGGGGAGGAGGUAUUUAGCCAUAAAUGAAUGUUCAUAUCUGUAUAUAAAUCAGUAGGCUUCUAUCAUGUGACUAUUCAUUAGGCUGUGCUGUACCAGCAGUGAAGCACUACAUUAACUAGUUGAACACAUUCAUUCAGGUAAUAACAUGGGAUUGCACUUCCCAGCAUAAUUUGUUGUUAUGAGCUGCAGCUGUAUCUUAUCCUUUCCUUGCUAUUUUUACCCAUUGUUCCAAUGUAAUUGUCCACAAAACUUUAACCCAUCUGCUUGUUCCCUCUGCUGUAAGACAUCAAUUCUGCUUAGCCUCCUGGGCACAUCUAUCUAUUUCUGUCCCUAUCCUCUCAAGAUAAAGAUAAAUACAUCAUAUAAUGCCUCACACACACACUGCAGCUGUCUCUUGAUUGUGAAGGUUUCUGAACAUGUGCUUCUGCUGUUCAGACUGCUCUAAUAUGAUUUGGAAGCAGUUCCACAGAGGAAAUACAUCUUCUGUUUCAGUAACGGUGUAUUAUGUGCCCAUACAUUUUGCAAACAUACCUAAGAAGAAAAAUAAGUAACUCUCUCUUGGAACACACACUGUGACCUAAUCAUUUUGUGCAAAGUUGCUGUUGGGUUAUGCUGUCCUGAUGCUUGAGAAGUCUUUUUGUUUUAUUUGCCUGACUUGUAGCCCUUUGUAAUUGACUCAUUGCUUCCCAGUAAGCAACUAGAUUCCAGUACAGAGCAGUGAUACGUAGAUUUGAUGGACAUUUUUUAUAUAACCAGGGGGUGUUACGAUUUCCAGGUACCAUUUUUAGUCAUGGGGUGCAACUGAUUUUCUUUGGUUUGAUAUCUUGAGCAUGAUACUCGCAACCUCCCUUGGGUAGUAGAGAUAUGAGAUGGAGAAAUCAACAACAGCUGGCUCCUUAGUGAGGUGGACUGGCCCAUUUAAAGCUUCACCAUAAACCAUAAUCAAGAUUUCCCUUCAAGUAAUGUCACAAAAGGUCAUUCACUUGUGGUGUGUUACUUUAAGCACAGAUGGGACUCAAAUAUACACCUGGGUGUAUAGUGGAAAGCUCCACACAUACCAAGAAGGACAGGCUUUUGUUAUGGUGGUAAGUGCUUACCACAGACACCUGAUUUUAAGUUGCUCAAGGAGCUGGAAUUAACUCACUGACAGUUCACAUAUAGUACAGUUUCUUAAACAUGAUACACCUCUUCCCUACCAAUAGCCAUGCUCAAGAUGAUGAUGAUGGAAAAUUCUAUGUCACUUCUUCCAGGGAUCAGAGGGAAGUUUACAAUAUAUAAACACAAAAAUAUAGAACAUGGUAACAAACAAAAACGACACCACCACCCCUGAGUUUAAAGUGUCAGAUUGUUUAAUUAUCCAAAGGCCUGGGAGAAAAGGAAUGUUUUUGCCUGGACCCUAAACAUAUGCAAUGAAGGUGCCAAGAUGAAAACAAUCCAUGCACAUGUUCAGGUUCAAAGUAGUCCAGGCAGUAAUGGAUGGUGUGAUGGGUCUCCAGCCUCACCUGACCUCCACUUGGUCAUACUGCUGCUGCUGCUUACUGGAAAACAAAGGGUACGGGGCAAGGCAGUCAUAAGGUUGGCAUGGCUCAAAUACACCAACCAUGCCAAGCCAGUGCUGUGUGUUUGCAUCACACUAACAUCACUGCUUCCCACCUCACCCUCUGACUUCUGCUAUAACAGAAUGUUCUGCUCUCCUGUGUGCCUCCAAAAAACUCAGUUCAGAGGGAUUGGGAGAACCCCCAGAAAAGCACAUGGAUGGGGGGGAUUAUUCCACCUGAUAUUCUGCUUGAGCCAUUGCCCACAGCACUAUUUUGAAUGCCUCCCAACUCUCUAAAAUAAAAUACUACCUCUUCGUAUAGUUCUAAAACUACAUGGAGGGAGAGAGGGAGAUUUCAUGAAGCCAGGAAGAUGGCAAAGGAAAUUAACGGGAUGGAACAGGAUUCUGUCUGAUGGGAUAAAGGAAAGUGGAAACUUCAGGCGGCAUUAAGCCAGGGACCACACAAAAUGAGGCUGGGCUGCAUAUGUUUUUCCAUGUGACAGGUUACCCACCUUGGAUGUAGUGUUUCGCUGCUGCUACCAAAUAAUGUUACAUCUUUAUCAGUUGCUAACUGUAGUAGAUGCUAAUUGUAGUUUUCACCUGAUCCCUUGAGAGCCAAGUCACUGCUGCUUACCAGGAAGAAAAGGGUGAGGGGGUCAGCAUGGUGCAAAUGGUAGAUAGGCUCUGCUGGUACUUUUGCACUGCACCAAGCUGACACCUUGUCCCUUCUCUUCCCAGUAAGCAGCAGUGACUCAACUGUCAGGAGAUUAGCCAUUCACUACCAGUUAUUGACACACACCAUUUGCAGCUGAUAAAGAUAGUGACAAAGCAAUCCUGUCAUGUGGAUUUAGUGGUGUCCAGUUUGCAAGAAUGUUGCCAAAAUUACUCCUGGUUAUUAUGCCAUUCUUUAACCACCUCUUCUGAAAAAGUGACUCAGGCGAUAAGACUUCCUUAAUCUUUGUCGCUGCUUCUCCUUUGUCUUCCUAGUUCAAGCACUUGAAGCCUGUAAAGAGAGAAGGAUGUUUCUGUCAGGCAACAUCUGAUUUGUCAAGAUCAUUUUAACACACACAUUCAAAUGUUCACUCUCUCAUACAUCCAGAGUUGCAUGUUUGGUAUUUAUCUUCCAUAUAAUCUCUGGCACUUAUGAAGCACUGGUGUGUUAGAUUGUGUCUUGUCAUCAAAGGCUUCCCAUUCAUUUCAGUGACAAGAUGCAUCUGAAAUCGGUGACAAAUCGGGAGAGUAUUGGGGGGGGGAGCUAUUAAACUGCUGGAGACUGAAUGUGACGCUUUCCUUUAAAUGAAUUCUUUAAAAGAAACGCAACCAAGCCUUGUCUCCCCCUGCCCAUCAUAUUUUGAAGUUUGUCACUAAAGCAUUAUGAACAGUGGCAGAGCCAUGGGCUCAACUCCCACUUCAUUCAGGUCAUAGGUUGCCUACACACCAAUCCAUUUGUACGCAGCUCACUAGAUAGUUUGGGGCAAGUGACUGCCUUGAGCAAAUAGUGCCUGUUGAAUUUGUUUGUCAUGAAGCUAUUGAAGGCAAAAGUACCACCCAGCCUCCCUCCCUCCUUCUACUGCAGUACCACAGCAGUAAAUAUACUGCAAUGUACACUUUGGGGCUUUUAUGAUGCAUAGAUUGAUGCAUGAAACAAUUAACUAAGAGAGAAUGGAAUUUUACAUCCCCCUCUCCCCCCCCCGUCUUCAUCAUCAUAAUAGUGCUCCAUAUGAUUAUAGCAAGAAUCCUUUCAAAAGGAAUCCUUCGCUGGCAUAGGUGGCUUGGUUGAAAUUAAUGGAACUGUAUAGGUUUACAGUCCUUGAGCAUCUCACCUCUCAAUUGCCAAUAUUCUUUACCAAUCAAUGCUUGCCUGGAGCAUCAAUCAAGUUAUGAGAGCAAACAUUUCCAAAAUUAAAUGGGAAAUAGUGGGGACUGAUGGGUUUGCUGUCUGUCCUCCUUAGUCUGUUACAGGCAGAAAUAAAACAACUGCAGUUUCCCACCUUGUCCAUACUUGCGAAAGCUACACUUGUUAAAUGUGUGCCUAUCAUGCAUCGCUUAAAGUUUAUGCCAGGAAAAAAUUGGCAACCAUAUCUCUGAGAUCGUCCUUUAAAAUACACAGUGCUCCUUACCAAGCAUACAAAUACAUGCUGUAGGUCAGAUCAGCAUAUUUCCAAUCAUAUCUGGCGACGCAUUUAAAGGUUAAAAAGCCAAUAGAAGUAUUCCUAAGAAAUGCAAUUGGGCCCUGGAGGGAGAUGUGUUCAUCAGGAAUGUUUCUGACCACCAUCCCUGCCCAGGAGGUUCAGCUUUCGUUUUUAAAAUUAAAGGAGGUAUGCAGCUAAGUCACACUCAGGAAUAGAACUGUUGAUGUCAGUGGUCUUAAACAAUGACUAACAAGCCUCAGUCAGUAAAGCUGUAUACACACCAUACAUUUGAAGUACAUUUCCCCACCCCAAGAAUCCUGGGAACUGUAGCUUGUUAAAUGUGCUGGGAAUUAUAGCUCUGCUGGGAAGCUACCGUCCACAGGAUCCUUUGGGGAGUGCUUUAAAUAUAUGGUAUGUAUGUAGCCCAACUAUGGCUUAGUUGGUUACUAUGCUAUGGUUAGAGACAUAAGAGGAAACAUACAGGGAGCAUUAAAUCCAAUUUCUCUAUAUGAAGCGGUACAAUUAAGUAGUUUUGAACAUAUUAGGUUACCCAUAUUUUGUCAGUAUCGCCCUUGAGCCAGUGCCACCAACUGGACUCAUCCACUUCAGCCCCGACUGGGCUAGGCGAGCUGGGUAGCACUUCCAGAGACCACCUUCUGCACAGGAACAGGUCAAAGUGCUGUGGACUCACAGCUUAGAGUUGUGAGCACCGGAAUUCACUCCCACAAGAAGACAGUCGUCGCACAGCAGAGUACAGCAGAGUCUAGCAGAGUAGAUGAUGGACUCAAGGGCAUCCUGAUCAAAUUUGCAGAUGACACCAAACUGGGAGGGGUGGCUAACACCCCAGAGGACAGGAUGACACUUCAAAACGACCUUGACAGAUUAGAGAACUGGGCCAAAACAAACAAGAUGAAUUUUAACAGAAAUACCGUGUGCACCAGGCAAAAAAUGAAGCUUCAAAUCACAAGAUGGGACACCUGGCUUGGAGCAGUACAUGUGAAAAGGGUCUAGGUCUUGGUUGACCUAAACUGACAGCUAGGCCAACAGUGUGUGUGGCAGCUAAAAAGCCAAUGCAAUUCUGGGCUGCAUCAAUAGGAGUAUAGCAUCUAGAUCAAAGGGAAGUAAUAGUGCCACUGUGUUCUGCUCUGGUCAGACCUCACCUGGAGUACUGUGUCCAGUUCUGGGCACCUGGUUCAAGAAGGACACUGACCAAGCUGGGCGUGUCCAGAGGAGGGGCCUUACAAAAUGGUCAAAGGCCUGCAGACGAUGCCUUAUGAGGGCGGCUAAAGGGAGCUGGGCAUGUUUAGCCUGGAAGAGGAGGGUUGGGGGUGAUGUUAGCCAUGUUCAAAUAUAUAAAGGAUGUCACAUAGAGGAGGGAGAAGGUUGUUUCUGCUCCAGAGAAAGCGGACAUGGAGCAAUGGAUCCAAACUACAAGAAAGAAGAUUCCACCUAAACACAGGAAGAACUUCUGACAGUAGAGCUGUUCGACAGUGGAAUUUGCUGCCAAGAGGGUGUGGUGGAGUCUCCUUCUUUAGGUCUUUAAGCAGAGGCUCCCGGCAACCAUAUGUCAGAAUUAUCUGAUGGUGUUUUCCUGCUUGGCAGGGUUGGACUCUGAGUGGCGCCUUGGUGCCCAGCUCUAUGAUUCUAUGAUUCUAUGAUUCUAUGAUAUAAACAACUCGGAGAGCAGCUCUGUAGAAUAUCUUCUUUUAUUCUAUCUACAACUAUUAUACAACUAUAUACAGAGCUAAAUAGGUCUAAGCAUAAAUGAAUGCUACACUGCACUGAGUGUCUGCAGCUGCUCUUAGCAGCAACCUUAUCUCUACACACGAUCUCUAACACUCAGUCUCUCUCUCUCUCUCUCUCUCUCUCUCUCUCUCUCUCUCCCCGACACUGACUGACUGACUGACUGAGUGCUGGAGCAGAAUAAGUAGAGAGCAGAACACGCCUCCUCCUCUCUGGAGAAUCAGCAGACUCCUCAGGAGAUUCUUGGAUAUGGGAGGGAUGAAAUCUCCUCAUAUUUAUGUUGUGUGUUUUGCAAUGAUUUCCCAACCCCUGAGAUCUUCCCCUCACCACAACACUUUUGGCUAUGGGCCUGGAAAUGAGCUAGUCUCUCCCCCCCCCCCGCCCCAAUCAGAUAAGUAACACUGAC